AGCAUAUAUCCAUUCAGACCAAAUAAUUAGAGCACUAGAGAAAAAGUCUUUCCAAAACUAAUGCCUUGGCUUAGACCAGCCCACACCGAUACCCCGACACGGCAUUCACUCCACAGAACCCCACAGAUCGACUCACCCCGACUCUCUCUCCAACUCACUCCGACUCUCUCGCUGUCCGACUCACUCCACAGCCACCCCGACUCUCUGGUACCAAUACCCAACUCUCGUGGUAGCAUUCACUCUCUUUCCAAAACUCCACCGCUACUCCCAAUCCCCGACUCCGAAGCCCUUGACCACGAAUCCACCGCCUCCGAGAUCUCUCUAGUACCCAUCCCUGAAGCCCUAAACCACGAAUCUACCGCCUCUGAGAUCUCUCUGGUACCAAUCCCUGAAUAAUCCACGAUUUGUCUUAGAAUCUGGAAUUGGGUAAGAGUUCAGCAGACUUUGCGCAAUUUUGGCUUUUAGGCGUGAUUGCAGAAGUGCUUACUGACAUCAAAUAUGAGGCAGAUGUGUAUAUAUUCGGUGGUUGCAUUAAGUCAUGGAAAAACCUCUUUUUUGUGAGACCUGAUGCUGUGUUUAAUGGGAAGAAACCGAUCAGGUUGUUUCAGAUUUGUGUGUGCAUUUUUGGCUUUGAUUUUGAAUUUUUUGAAAGUUUCGGAGUUGGAUUUGAAUCUUGAGUACAAGCUAGAUGUCAGGGAAGACUUAGAGGCUGUGGGGAAGAAACUUGAAGAAUGCACCGAAAGGUGUUCGUGAAAAUGCCCCAGAGAAAAGCUCAUAAGUUACUAUGCAGGGUAUCUGAAAUCUUGCGAUAGCUCUAUUGAUCUUGUUAAUGUCCUGAAGCAUGAGAUUCAAGAUGGGCAACUGAGCUUUAGAGGAAAAAGGGUACUUAAGCUGGGUUGUAGCUAUGGCCUUCGAGGAAUUUUUGCUUGUUUGAAGGUAUUUAAGUCCCCAAGUACCCAUCAUGCCUCUGGAUCCUACCCUAUAGAAUGCUAUGAUCCUAAUUGAUUGAUUUAAUUCAAGAAAGAUGGUGAAGAAGAUGAUCCAAAUGGAAGCAAUGCGAACAGUGCCACCUGUGGAACUUGGUGGCAAGGUAUUCAUAUAAUAGAUGAAACUUGUAAUGGUUACAAUUUACAACUAUGUUAUAGAGUAGAUGAAUUGCUGAACUUCUGGCUUGUGUUUGCAGGUUCUCUCUAUUAUUAGGACCUUGCCCUUCCCUGACCAUGAACUCUUCAUUUAUUUGUGGUUAUGCUUUGCAUUGUUCCUUCUAAAUAUAUGUCUAGUAUCUAAGAUUUUGCAUUGAGUUUGUUGCUUGUUUUUUUUGGUAGUAAUUCAUGCUUGUAUGGCAUCUCCGCCACUUACUUCAUGGACUAUUAAGCAUUUUCUAAUGCGUUUAAGCAUUUGACUUUAUAAGAUCAACUUUCCCGUGUAAUUAUUAAUAUUACACGGGAAAGUAUCAGCUAGCAUCACUAUGAACAACAAUAAUGUUAAAAGACUCCUCCAAUGGAGGGGAAGUCACUUGAGAUGUUGGGAUGAGGCAGCGCUUCAACUAAUCUUUAUUCUUUAAGCCAUUCCUUUCCGUCCAAUUUGGAAUUACAGGGAAAUUGAUUGUUAUAUAUCUACGGAUCUAUCUGCAUGGUAAUGUGACGUGCACUCUGCAUGUAGAAUAUACAUGUGCACUGCAUAUAUUAAUUAUUUAUGGCAAUGGUAGUUGUAAUUAAGUUUGAUAAUAUACAUAUGCACUCUGCAAGUCUGCAUAUGAUAGAGCAGAUUCAUAACUCUGUCCAUGUAUCCGUAUAUGGACUAUUACAAAGCUAAUGCAUGUAUAAAGCCAUGAACCAUAAUAGUAAUUGCUAUCUCCCUUUUAGAAUAGACUGUAUGGACUUUUACUUUGUUCUUUUCCCUUUCUGGAAAUCAUCUUUUCAAGUGCAGAAGGCUAGCACUAGUUUAUUCUGCUGUCUUUUGUAUAUUUGGAUGCUAAUAUCUCUAUAUUACGGAUAUUCAAAUGUUGAUUUCAUAUUGUUGUCCUGCGAAGGCUGGCACUAGUUUAUUUUGUUGUCUCUUGGAUUAUCACAAGUUAAAAUUUUAUGUAGAUCAGUGCAUACCACAAACUGUUUCUUAAUCUAUAGAUGCACAAUUCCAGCAAUCUACAUUGCUAUGAGAACCUUGGUGGUAAAAGGAAAAUGUGACAAUUCAGUAUCCUUUUGAGGCAUGAAGUUUGAUGUGGUGGUUUUGUUCUGCAGGGAGAAGUGGAAACCUAUCUUUAAAAAGCACAUUUCUGGCCAAGUUUGUCGUGGUGGUUUUGUUCUAAAAACAAUUAUCCAGGUUUGAAGGCUGCUUAUAAACUGGACAAUCAUGUGGAAGAUGGAGCAGUGACGAAAGCUUUUGAAGUGAUAGAGAGAAAUUUGUUUAGCUAGAAGUUGUACUGAGGCUAGAAGUUGGUCUUUUUUGGGUUGGCCUUAAUUGCAGUUCUCCUAUAGAUGUGAUUAUGUGACAUUUUUAGGUACAUUUCUGGAUGUAUUUUGCUAUAAGAGUUUCAAAGAUGUGAUCCCUUAUUUUGUGGAUACAUCGGAUCCAUUUAGAUUGCUAUGGGAUUAUAACAGCUUUCUAUUAUGAUUAAAUUACUAUUCUUUUGGUCAUUCUUGCUUCCAGAA